rnacentral:tRNA from 1 species
CAGAGAAUAGUUUAAUUAAAAAUUUUAAUUUUGGAGAUUAAAGAUAAGAGAAAUUCUUUUCUCUGA